GACGAACGCUGGCGGCGUGCCUAAUACAUGCAAGUAGGACGCACUUGCGAACGGGUGAGUAACGCGUAGGUGACUGCCUAUUUGAGGGGGGUAACUAUUGGAAACGAUAGCUAAUACCGCAUACUAGUAGAUGGACCUUCGUUGUAUUAGCUAGUAGGGAGGGUAAUGGCCUACCUAGGCGACGAUACAUAGCCGAGCUGAGAGGGAGAUCGGCCAACCAUGGACCGGGAAAAGGGCCAGAAUCCCACGGGAGGCAGCAGUAGGGAAUCAUCGGAAAUGGGGGGAAACCUGACCGAGCAAAGCCGGGUGAUGGAAGAAGGUUUUCGGAUCGUAAAGCUCUGUUGUUAAGGAAGCGGUACUUACACAGAAAGCAACGGCUAACUACGUGCCAGCAGCCGCGGUAAUAC
rnacentral:rRNA from 1 species